UACGUAGGUGGCAAGCGUUGUCCGGAAUUAUUGGGCGUAAAGCGCGCGCAGGUGGUUGAUUAAGUCUGAUGUGAAAGCCCACGGCUUAACCGUGGAGGGUCAUUGGAAACUGGUCGACUUGAGUGCAGAAGAGGGAAGUGGAAUUCCAUGUGUAGCGGUGAAAUGCGUAGAGAUAUGGAGGAACACCAGUGGCGAAGGCGGCUUCCUGGUCUGUAACUGACACUGAGGCGCGAAAGCGUGGGGAGCAAACAGGAUUAGAUA
rnacentral:rRNA from 1 species